AGUGAACGCUGGCGGUAGGCCUAACACAUGCAAGUCGAACGGCAGCACAGUAAGAGCUUGCUCUUACGGGUGGCGAGUGGCGGACGGGUGAGGAAUACAUCGGAAUCUACUUUUUCGUGGGGGAUAACGUAGGGAAACUUACGCUAAUACCGCAUACGACCUACGGGUGAAAGCAGGGGAUCUUCGGACCUUGCGCGAUUGAAUGAGCCGAUGUCGGAUUAGCUAGUUGGCGGGGUAAAGGCCCACCAAGGCGACGAUCCGUAGCUGGUCUGAGAGGAUGAUCAGCCACACUGGAACUGAGACACGGUCCAGACUCCGAAGGGAGGAAGCAGUGGGGAAUAUUGGACAAUGGGCGCAAGCCUGAUCCAGCCAUACCGCGUGGGUGAAGAAGGCCUUCGGGUUGUAAAGCCCUUUUGUUGGGAAAGAAAAGCAGCAGGUUAAUACCCCGCUGUUCUGACGGUACCCAAAGAAUAAGCACCGGCUAACUUCGUG
rnacentral:rRNA from 1 species